GGUAAGAUAGGUCAAGUUCAGGUCAACGGGCUCAUGCCCCGGAGGUACACCAAGUGUUCUUACUG
rnacentral:tRNA from 1 species